UACUUUCAAUUACAUUAAUUAUUACUUGUAUUUUUAAUGUAUUACUUACAUACUUACAUUUUUUAAAACUUUGUUUUCAUAACCGAUUUUGUGCUGUUUGCUAAAUAUCACGAAUAAUACAAAGCGCUUGAAAUGAUGUAAAGAAUAUAAAUAUUGCAUGUUUUACCGCUUUUUAGACGUUUUGUGAAAUAAAUUUAGGCAUGGCCUAUAAAUGUAAAAUCGCAACGAGAGGAAAUACAGUCCAUCUGAUUAUACGAAUAACUCAUAUUUAAUAAAUAACAAUGACCGCUUCAUUUGGCACAACACCACAUAGGCUAUUCUGAAAUAUAUAUAUUUUUUCCCCUGCCCUCAAUUAUUUAUAGCCUGUUUUUAAAUAGCUAUACCCUUAUAUUUUAGGUCUCUUUUACGUGUAUUCAUAUAGGCUAGUAAAUGAUGGAUAUUAAUAAGAAAGGCAUUAUAUUACGAUGAUUGAUGAUAAUGAGGUGGUGAUUAUCAUGUAGGUCAGACAGAAUCCUUAAACUAAAGAUAAACCAUAAUUCCAUGUCUAAUAGCUAUAUCCUUAACUUUUCCCGUCAUCAGUCAUUAUAGUAUCGCUUAAUUCACAGCCUUCUUUGAUUGACGGCGUCGUGUUUUAUAUAGGCGCGUUAAGCACAACUAUCUUUACUAACAACUGAGGUGACAAUCUAUUCAUUUAUAAUAUUAGACAUGCAUUUUCAAAUCAUUAUUUACAUGAGGCAGUAUUAACAAAACGACAAAUAUACACACUGAUUUCAGAAACAUGCAUGCACUAAUAAAAGAAUUGCAAUCACAAAUAAGCCAUUGCUUUGUGGGUCUGUAGUGAAUUUGUCUCAUUCAUGGAUAUCUAAUGUUACAUGUAGGCUAAUUUUUCUAACAGAACCAAUGAGUCACUUUGUUUUCAUAAAACUUGAAAUUUAUUUAUUUAUCUUAUCUAUCUAUCAAUCUGUUAUUAGUUUAUGCGUCUGCGUUAGAAUAAAGAAAGAAAGAGAAGUAGCAGGCGUGAUUUCGCUGUGUGUAUCAGGCUGUCUCCACUAGGGGCGUCGCACUCUUGGAAAUCUCUCGGCUACUCGUUAUAAAGUUACUCGGUUGGUAAAAGUGGAUCUCUUUCCGAUUUCAUCAGUAUCACAGUUCGAGACAUUUUAUAUCAGAUCAAGCGCACUCUUUCUACUCAGAUAGCCUAAAGCAGAGCACAAGUCUUUCGCAGCCGCCUGUGUGUGUCCCGUGAGGAAGAUGACGAGGAAACAAGAGAAUACUUUCUGUCUGUCUGUCUGUCUCUCUCUCACACACACACCCGCGCGCGCACGCGCAUUGAUCUGAUGAAAUCAUUCAAUAUUAAACGUGCCUUUGCUUUUUCUUCUAAAGACUUCUGCAAUGUUUUAAACAAAAAAUACAGCAAAAUCCACCUGUCUUCACACUUCCAGAAAUGCAGAUAGAAAUAUAGUUAUCGAUAUUUCUUACUUAUCGUGAUGUCCACAGCUGAAAGUCCUACAUGUCCUUAUGAGCGAUAAAAAAUACCAGCAUUCUUCCCAAGCCUAAUGUCUCAGGCCUGAUGUUUUCACCGACACACGCUCCACAUCCUCUCGCUUUGACAACUGCUCUUAGAAACAUCUCUGAGCUGAUUUUAUUUCUCUUAUUCAUUCCUAAAAUUCGUAGGAUGGGAAUCUCAUUAGGCCAAAUAAGCGUGCAUCAACACUUUUUCCGCUGUCCAUAAGCAAGAGGAUCACUUAAUAGAUCAUUAACCAGCAAUAUGCUGCUGACAGGAGAGUUUUUCGGCAUCUCCUCUCCAUUAGAGAGAGAGAGAGGAACCAGUAGGCGAGUCUGAGGGAAUCAGAGCGCGUGACUGUACGGGCCCGCGCGCGUGAUGAGACGGGCCCGCGGUACCGGCGGACUCAACAUGUUUCCUCCACUGAGUUAUGUGACGCGAUAUGAUCUGACUUUUAGGGCUUUGUAUUAUUUCAUAUCGAUGAAAGAAUUCACUGUUGGCUUUGUAGUUGACGUGGAGAUGCGAUGCAGUGGCAUUAUUGUUUGUGAUACGGGUGAGUAAAAA